rnacentral:rRNA from 1 species
GUUUGAUUAUGGCUCAGAUUGAACGCUGGCGGGAUGCUUUACACAUGCAAGUCGAACGGCAGCACGGACUUCGGUCUGGUGGCGAGUGGCGAACGGGUGGUAUGUAUCGGAACGUGCCUAGUAGCGGGGGAUAACUACGCGAAAGCGUAGCUAAUACCGCAUACGCCCUUCGGGGGAAAGCGGGGGACCUUCGGGCCUCGCACUAUUAAACGGCCGAUAUCGGAUUAGCUAGUUGGUGGGGGUAACGGCACCACCAGGCGACGAUCGCUAGCUGGUUUGAGACGACCAGCCACACUGGGACUGAGACACAGCCCGGGCUCUUUACGGGAGGCAGCAGUGGGGAAUUUUGGACAAUGGGGAAACCUGAUCCAGCCAUCCCGCGUGUGCGUGAAGGCCUUCGGGUUGUAAAGCACUUUUAGCCGGGGAAAGAAACGGCACGGGAUAAUACCCGUACGCUGACGUACCUGCAGAAUAAGCACCGGCUAACUACUGCCAGCAGCCGCGGUAAUACGUAGGGUGCAAGCGUUAAUCGGAAUUACUGGGCGUAAAGCGUGCGCAGGCGGUUCGGAAAGAAAGAUGUGAAAUCCCAGAGCUUAACUUUGGAACUGCAUUUUUAACUACCGAGCUAGAGUGUGUCAGAGGGAGGUGGAAUUCCGCGUGUAGCAGUGAAAUGCGUAGAUAUGCGGAGGAACACCGAUGGCGAAGGCAGCCUCCUGGGAUAACACUGACGCUCAUGCACGAAAGCGUGGGAGCAAACAGGAUUAGAUACCCUGGUAGUCCACGCCUAAACGAUGUCAACUAGCUGUUGGGGCCUUCGGGCGCUGGUAGCGCAGCUAACGCGUGAAGUUGACCGCCUGAGAGUACGGUCGCAAGAUUAAAACUCAAAGGAAUUGACGGGGACUCGCACAAGCGGUGGAUGAUGUGGAUUAAUUCGAUGCAACGCGAAAAACCUUACCUACCCUUGACAUGUCUGGAAUCCCGAAGAGAUUUGGGAGUGCUCACCAAGAGAACCGGAACACAGGUGCUGCAUGGCUGUCGUCAGCUCGUGUCGUGAGAUGUUGGGUUAAGUCCCGCAACGAGCGCAACCCUUGUCAUUAGUUGCUACGAAAGGGCACUCUAAUGAGACUGCCGGUGACAAACCGGAGGAAGGUGGGGAUGACGUCAAGUCCUCAUGGCCCUUAUGGGUAGGGCUUCACACGUCAUACAAUGGUCGGGACAGGGUCGCCAACCCGCGAGGGGGAGCCAAUCCCAGAGAAACCCGAUCAUGAAGUCGGAUCGCGGUCCCUGCAACUCGACUGCGUGAAGUCGGAAUCGCUAGUAAUCGCGGAUCAGCAUGUCGCGGUGAAUACGUUCCCGGGUCUUGUACACGCCCCGUCACACCAUGGGAGUGGGUUUUACCAGAAGUAGUUAGCCUAACCGUAAGGAGGGCGAUUACCACGGUAGGAUUCAUGACUGGGGUGAAGUCGUAACAAGGUAA